rnacentral:rRNA from 1 species
GCGGCAGGCUUAACACAUGCAAGUCGAGGGGCAGCGGGGGGCGCGCUUGCGCGUCCCGCCGGCGACCGGCGCACGGGUGAGUAACACGUAUGCAACCUGCCCCCGCCAGGGGUACAACCCUCCGAAAGGGGGGCUGAUACCGCGUACAUCCCCCGGGGGCAUCCCCGGGGGAGGAAAGCCCUACGGGGCGGGCGGGGAUGGGCAUGCGGCGCAUUAGGAAGACGGCGGUGUGACGGACCACCGUUCCGACGAUGCGUAGGGGUUCUGAGAGGAAGGCCCCCCACACUGGUACUGAGACACGGACCAGACUCCUACGGGAGGCAGCAGUGAGGAAUAUUGGUCAAUGGCCGGAAGGCUGAACCAGCCAAGCCGCGUGAGGGAGGAAGGCGCAGAGCGUCGCAGACCUCUUUUGCCGGGGGACAAAAGGCCGGACUCGUCCGGUCCUGAGGGUACCCGGAGAAAAAGCAUCGGCUAACUCCGUGCCAGCAGCCGCGGUAAUACGGAGGAUGCGAGCGUUAUCCGGAUUCAUUGGGUUUAAAGGGUGCGCAGGCGGGCCUUUAAGCCGGCGGUGAAAUCGCGGGGCUCAACCCCGCCGAGCCGUCGGAACUGGGGGCCUUGAGUGCGGCGGAGGCAUGCGGAAUGCGCGGUGUAGCGGUGAAAUGCAUAGAUAUCGCGCAGAACCCCGAUUGCGAAGGCAGCGUGCCGUGCCGCCACUGACGCUGAGGCACGAAAGCGCGGGGAUCGAAACAGGAUUAGAUACCCUGGUAGUCCGCGCCGUAAACGAUGGAUGCUGGGUGUCCGGGGCGUUUCAGGCCCCUGGGUGCCGGAGCGAAAGCGGUAAGCAUCCCACCUGGGGAGUACGCCGGCAACGGUGAAACUCAAAGGAAUUGACGGGGGCCCGCACAAGCGGAGGAACAUGUGGUUUAAUUCGAUGAUACGCGAGGAACCUUACCCGGGCUCAAACGGGGGGCGCGGGCGGCAGAGACGCCGCCGUCCUUAUGGACGCCCCCCCGAGGUGCUGCAUGGUUGUCGUCAGCUCGUGCCGUGAGGUGUCGGAUUAAGUUCCAUAACGAGCGCAACCCCCGCGCGCAGUUGCUAACGGGUCAGGCCGAGGACUCUGCGCGGACUGCCGGCGCAAGCCGCGAGGAAGGCGGGGACGACGUCAAAUCAGCACGGCCCUUACGUCCGGGGCGACACACGUGUUACAAUGGGGGGUACAGCGGGAAGCCAGGCGGCGACGCCGAGCGGAACCCGAAAGCCCCUCCCAGUUCGGAUCGGAGCCUGCAACCCGGCUCCGUGAAGCUGGAUUCGCUAGUAAUCGCGAAUCAGCCAUGGCGCGGUGAAUACGUUCCCGGGC